UACGGAGGAUCCAAGCGUUAUCCGGAAUCAUUGGGUUUAAAGGGUCCGUAGGCGGACCAUUAAGUCAGGGGUGAAAGUCUGCAGCUCAACUGUAGAAUUGCCUUUGAUACUGGUGGUCUUGAGUUAUAGUGAAGUGGCCGGAAUAUGUAGUGUAGCGGUGAAAUGCAUAGAUAUUACAUGGAACAACAAUUGCGAAGGAAGCUUACUACACAAUGAUUGACGCUGAGGCACGAAAGCGUGGGGAUCAAACAGG
rnacentral:rRNA from 1 species